rnacentral:lncRNA from 1 species
AAUCCCCCAGCCGCCGCCCGACAACCUUCCUCUUUUUCCUCGCGCAGCCAGUCAACUCCCUGCUUUCUUCCUUGGGAUCCUCCCAGAUCCAAAAAUCCCUUCCUCGUUUUCAGAUCCACCCAAUCCCUCCAUCGAUCCAACCAUAGCCCUCCGCUGCUCUGCUUCCCCUCGAUCCACCCGAGCUCCUCCUCUUGCGCCUCUGUGCUCGAUCCCCCUCGUCCUCGCCACUCCUUCGCAUGCGGCAAGCCGCCGCAGCACCAGAGCUCCCUCCGCCGUCGAGCACCACUAGCAGAUUAGCCUCGCGCCGCCCUUCCUCCCUUUCCCUCGCUCUUAUCUCUCCCUCACAUCUGGCUCCCUCUCUUUUUCCCUCGCAGAAGCCCGCCAUGGCGUACAGGAGGCUUCAGGCACCAGCAGCUCCAGUUCCGCGUCGGCUCCACCAUGGGAAUGGAUGGAUACGUCGUCUUUGACCUGAGGACCUCCUCAUACGUGCCUCUCCAUCAUCAUCUCCGCCACCAGAACGCACGGUAGCAACCUCCUGCCAUCGUCCGUCCUCACCGGUUUGAGCAGCCGGCGCAUCCGCCAUCGCUCGCUCGCUCUGCCGCCUACCGGAGCUCGCCUCCACCGACAGCAGCACCUCCCUUCGCCAAGUGCCGCCGUGACCCCGUCAUUUUCCAUCCCUGCCGAACCUGCUGUCGUCCCUGCCGCCAAGCUCUUCGCUUGCAGGGACGCACGGCGCGCCCGUUGACUGCUUGCUGGUCGGCACCCUCCUUCGCGCGUAGCACCGCGCCAGACGCUGAUCGCCUCUGCCCGGUUCCCCGCCACCAAGUCCAGCUCAGUGCCGCCGCGAGCCACCUUCUUCCUUGGAUCCUCGCCGCCCCAUCGCCCUGUUCGCCUCCUCUGCUUCGUUCGAGCAGGGAGGACGACGCAUGCUCCCUUCAUUGACCGCUUCCACUCCAGGAGCUGGGCCACCUCCCCUCGGCUCGUUGACCGACUUCCCAGAUCCGCGCCUGGGCCGCUUCUUGCAGCGAGGCCAAGAUCGACCGCGGCCCAGCCAGCGCCCUGCCGGCCCAGCCUCCCCUCCAGCCGCGGUGCUUCUGGCCUAUUGGGCCCAAUGUGAGCAGCACAACAGUUUCAGCUCACUCUUGUUUUUUUCCUCCAGCAUUUUUGCUAAUAACCAGUGUAUUACCGGUUUUUACAGAAAAACCCCUAGUCUUCAUGCAUAUAAUAACUUAUGAAUAAUGCUUCAUAUGUAAUAACCUUAUAUUUGAAACUUGACUAGAAUUUCAUCUAGUUUCAUAAUAUGUCAUUUCCAUCCAUGUUUAAAAUGCUUAAAAUGUUGUUUGUUAAAUUUGCUCAAAUAACUUGUUAAAAUGUUUUAAUUCAUAACUAAAUAGCCGUAUCUCGGUUUCUAAUAAAUUUUAUAUGUAAAUGGGGUGGGAAAAUGCCUAGUUUAUCAUGGUGUAUUUGUUUUGCAUGUUUAACAACCCUAAAAUUGUGUUUAGAACAGAUCAGUACCAAAUCUAUAAUAUGCUCAUGAGGAGUUUCCGGACUUGUUGUUCGUUGUUUCCGGCCUCAUUUAAACUUGCCUAGAUAGGUAGUUUUGUUGUGCUUCACCUCUUGCCAUGCUAACAACAUUUAAUCUUGUUGGCUACCUAAACGAGAGAGAACUAAAUAAGUCAUGUGGUGUUUUCUUCAAUAUGCAACUCCGUUGCAUAUUGAGCUUGACUUAAUUUGUAGGGUUGCUUGUGCACCUUGCCAUGCCAUGCUUCAUUAAACCGGACAUGCAUCAUACUUGAUUGUGCAUCAUGCCAUGUUUAUGUGGUGGCUGUUUACCAUGAUUGUUUGCUUCUUUCCGGUGUUGCUUCUUCAGGUUGGUUCCGAUAACGUCACAUUUGUGAGGACCCUUUUGACUACGUCCGUUUGUCUUCUUCAUGGACUCAUUCUUCUUCCUAUCGGGAUUUCAGGCAAGAUGAUCAUACCCUCGAAAUCACUUCUAUCUUUGCUUGCUAGAUGCUCGCUCUUUUGCUAUGCCUAUGCUGCGAUACCUACCACUUUCUUAUCAUGCCUCCUAUAUUUUUGAACCAAGCCCCUAAACCACCUUGUCCUAGCAAACCGUUGAUUGGCUAUGUUACCGCUUUGCUCAGCCCCCCUUAUAGCAUUGUUAGUUGCAGGUGAAGAUUGAAGUUUUGUUCCUUGUUGGAACAUGUUUUACUUGUUGGGAUAUCACAAUAUAUCUUAUUUAAUUAAUGCAUCUAUAUACUUGGUAAAGGGUGGAAGGCUCGGCCUUAUGCCUGGUGUUUUGUUCCACUCUUGCCGCCCUAGUUUCCGUCAUAUCACUGUUAUGUUCCCGGAUUUUGUGUUCCUUACGCGGUUGGGUAAUAAUGGGAACCCCUUGACAGUUCGCCCUGAAUAAAACUCUUCCAGCAAUGCCCAACAUUGGUUUUACCAUUCGCCACCUAGCCUUUUCCUUUCCCUUGGGGGUCACGCGCCCAAGGGUCAUCAUUAUUUUAACCCCCCGGGACAGUGCUCCUCUGAGUGUUGGUCCAAAACAGAGCCACUUGCAGCGCCACCUCGGGGCAACUCGAGGUUUGGUUUUAGUUGUACGUAGUGUUCAUCCGGUGUGCCCCGAGAACGAGAUAUGUGCAGCUCCUAUCGGGAUUUGUCGGCACAUUCGGGCGGUGUUGCUGAACUUGUUUUACCAUUGUCGAAAUGUCUUGUAACUGGGAUUCCGAGUCUGAUCGGGUCUUCCCGCUAGAAGGAAUAUCCUUCGUUGACCGUGAGAGCUUGUGAUGGGCUAAGUUGGGACACCCCUGCAGGGUUUUGAACUUUCGAAAGCCAUGCCCGCGGUUAUGGGCAGAUGGGAAUUUGUUAACGUCCGGUUGUAGAAAAACGGAAGUUGACCUUAAUUAAAAAUGCAUCAACCGUGUGUGUAACCGUGAUGGUCUCUUUCCGGCGGAGUCCGGGAAGUGAACACGGUGUUGGAGUAAUGCUUGAUGUAGGUUGUUCUAGGAUCACUUCUUGAUCAUAGUUUCUCGAUCGUGCUUUGCCUUCUCUUCUCGCUCUCUUUUGCGAAUAGGUUAGCCACCAUAGAUGCUAGUCGCUUACUGCAGCUCCACCUCAUACCUUUACCUUACCUAUAAGCUUAAAUAAUCUUGAUCAUGAGGGUGCGAGAUUGCUGAGUCCCCGUGGCUCACAGAUUACUUCAAAAACCAGUUUGCAGGUGCCGAUGAGUCCGUGCAGAUGACACAACCAAGCUCAAGGAGGAGCUCGAUGAAGAUCUUGUCCUUUGUGUUGUUUCGUUCUAGUUGAUCAGUAGUGGAGCCCAGUUGGGGUCGAUUGGGGACCUUGUCGCGUUUGGGGUUCUUCUUUUAUGUUGGUUCCGUUGUCGGACCUUGAUUGUAUUUGAUUGUUGUAAUGCUUUAUUCAUGAAAUUGUGUGAAGUGGCGAUUGUAAGCCAACUAUGUAUCUUUUCCCUUAUUGUAUUACAUGGGUUGUUUGCGAAGAUUACCUCACUUGCAGCAUUGCUUUCAAUGUGGUUAUGCCUCUAAGUCGUGCUUCAACACGUGGGAGAUAUAGCCGCAUCGAGGGUGUUACAAGUUGCUAUCAGAGCCUUCCCCGACCUUAGGAGCCCCAUUGCUUGAUCAUUAUUAGCAGCCGUUGUUGAGUCUAGAAAUUUUUUUUUGAGUCAUUUAGGAAUUAUAUAUCAGAGAGUUUAGGAAUUCUUUUUACUCCCCAGUCCCUUCAUCGCUCUGGUAAGGCAUCCCGACGUAGAGUUUUAUCUCUUCUCUUCUGAAAUUUCACUAUUUUUUUAGGAUCACGCGGGUAUCUUAGAAUCGUUCUGAUUGAUUUGUGGCGAGAACAUUGUUCUUGGUGCCUCCUAUCAUUUAGGGGUUGUGGCAGUGUCCCGGGGAGUUGAGCUCCGAGGUGUUGUCGUCACAAUUUUAUCGUUGCAGUUCUGGAAUACCUGAGUUUAGUUUCCGACAUUGAAAAUCUCUUUUAUGCAAUUGUUGGUGAGAAAACCUCGACGCCACCCAGUACUGGGGCGGGAGUUCGGGAGUAUUGCCAUAACUCGUAUAACGGAUGCUUUUCGAAGGUUGAGGUAGAUGAUUUCCGAAGGUUUUUUGGUUAUGUGUUGAAGGAUGGAUACAGCUGGAUGUAGGAAUUGCUAGUUUUGGGUGAGAUAUUAUGCUUCCCCUGUAUCCCCAACACCUGAUUGCAUAACUGGGAAAGUUUCGGGAGUUUAUAAGUGGGAAUUCAAGUAGCUCUUAGGAUAUCUUUCCGAUAGAUGUAUGAUAUGAAAUUGGGGUUCGAAGUCUAGUGGUCCGCCUAUUCACGGUCGGUUUUACAGUGGUCUCGUUGUGUCUUAAAGAGUCCUUGGCUAUGCCGACUCGGGGACGCUUCGUAUGUCAUGUGCACUGCCUUGUACAUGAUGGUGCUGUACAAUCGAGCCCGUGUAGGUCCCACCAUGAAAACUUCAGACGAAAUCUCUAUCAUAUGUUUGUUCCGGCUUAUUUUGCAAGCCAAUCCUUUGUUUUUGUUUUGAGUUGUGGUAUUCGAGUUGCUUCGAAGUCAAAUGUUGAUUCCAUACCUUCUCUAAACGGUGUGCUCAUAUUCCUAUGUGAAUACUAAUCAUUCUUGAUCAUCGAGAUUGUCUUGCCAAUCCUUUUCAACCGGUGUGUUUUUCUCUUCAAGCGGAUCCAUUCAUUUUCAACAUCCGCAAGAUUCAAUCUCAGCUUUCUCAACGUUGUUCAUUUCAUCCAUCCCAAGUCGUCUUUGUUUUCCCACCCACCCACCCUUUUUCUUCAAGGACUUAGAUUUCUUAAUCGAGUAUCCAUCUUAUGGAUGUGAAGCCUCUCCAUUCUUUUCCGUCAAUAUUCUUAUCCGGUGAUUCUCAUGAAGAUUCUAACGGAGCUUCUAGUUCGUCAUUCCUCUUUUUUUCUCCGGUGGAACCAAUUCAAGCUUUGUUGAUCAUAUUCUUUCCUCGUUUCAAAUACCACCUCAUGCCAGUGCAGCUCAUUAUCAUCCACUUCUCGCUAUUCAAUUGUUCAAGAGUGCCCAAGAUAUCUUGGAGAUUCGUGUUUCCACUCUCCUUUCAUUCCAGCUUUUGCGAGGAUGUUACCUCAUUCAAGUCAUUUAUUUCAACCGGCGCAAUCUCUCACUUUAAAUCUUUUUAACGGUGUUCUUUUGAGUGGGCCCUAACCCACAGGUCUUUUCCCAGGAUCUUACCUGACUCUUCUUAUUUUCCCGGAGCUAUCCUCAAAUUCUUUUAAAGUUUGACGUAAGAAUGAUUCAUCAUCUGUCAUAUGUUUUUCUCCAAGAUCUUUCAAAUUCUUUUCAUCGUUGGCUCAAUCUCUUCGCUUUUGAUUCUUCCGGAGCGUCUAAAUAAUUCAUGAUGGUGUUUCUCGUCGUCUUUCUCAACAUUUGAAGACCAAAGAAGAGUUUCCCUCCAUAUCUUGCUUCAUUCUCUUCAAGAUUGGUGAUUCUAGCUUGUUGCCUUCCUCUCAUAAUUGUUUUGAUUGUGAGAAUCCUUUUCACCCAUCCGGAGCAAUUCAGGAGUCUUUUCAAUUGGAUUUCAUGGAGCCCAUCAUCAAAGAAGAUUUAUUCAUUCUUAGUUCUUGCUCUCCAAAUCUUACCGGUGCAUCAUUCAAGUGAUCUCUAAUCAGUUUGUGAUCCCUUCAUUCCCAUGGAUCUAAACCCUCUCAAGCAUCUUCAUUCAUUUGCUAAUUCUUCCCGGUGUUCCUUUAUCUUUCCUUCGGUCAUUGUAAUUCUUACGGUGGUUCGUGCAAGAGUUCUCGUCAUUCGUUAUCGUAUAUAUUCAUUCAUUCUUCUCAAUCCUACCAGUGACUUGUUGAAGACUUUCUCAAGUUAUGCUAUAUCUAUCUUAAUCCUUUCUACGAGAAUAAGUAGUGUGCCAAAUCCGUUGCUUGUCAUCAAUCUAAAUUGGUGAAGGAUAAGCAUAAUGUAAUUCUUAUUCUUGUUUCAUCCAAGUGAUUAAAUCCUUAUUUCGGAGGCUCAUCAAAUUCCUGAUUUCAAUUGUUUCAUCUUCUCUUUUUCCUGGAGUUCCAACCUUUUUCAAUUAUGUCACCACGGAGAUUCAUCUAAAUUGGUACAAGGAUUCACCUUGUGUUUUCAACUUCUCUUUCUUUUCAUUCCUUUGUUUACCGGAGUUCUUCAUGGAGGUUCUACAUGAUGGUUCAUCAAGGAUUUAUUUCCUUCUCGAAGUGUUCAUUGAGAUUCUUUUCAAAGGAGUUCAAGCUUUCUUCAUCUUGCUAUCCGGAGUGCAAUUCCUUCUACCGUAUCAUUUGAGGUGGUGUUGUGUCAUUCUUGAUAAUUUGAGUUCAUGUCUCAUGAUUCACAUGCUGUUAAGAAUGAGUUAUUUAAAAUCCAUCAAUCUCUUCAUUGGAGUUAUCUUGGGUUAUAUUUCACCUAAAACUUUCCCUAAGGAAUGUUGCUAAUUAUGGUGCUUAUAAAGGACCCAAGUUCUUCUUUAUCCUCCUGGUGAAAUACUUUCUCAUCUCCUUGUUCAUAUCAAUCCAAUUUAUCGUUUCCGUCAGUGGCUGGUUGUCACCUCAUAAUCUUGAGAUGUUUUGCCCAUAAGCCCAAAACUACCUUACUCUUUGCGUGGUUGGAUUUCCGACAACUCCGUUCGACCCUUCUCCUAAGGAUGCAUCUUCAAGAUCUUUUGUGGCAGAAGUUGGCAUUUUCUUCUCAAUUCUCCUAUGGCAAUUAUCUAUCUUCUAUUCUUUUGUUCCGGAGGCAUUGCGAUGUUGCUUUCUUCAACCAUCAUCUCGUUUCAUCAAAGAUCAUGUUCUUUUCAUGCCUAUUCCAUUUAACCAGGGUGUUGUGCCCCUUUGCUCAAAUCCUUUUUCAUCCUAUCAAGCCUUGUAUCUCUUUUCAACCGGAGUGCUAUAAGAAAUUGUUCUUCCUUGUUCCUCUUUCCUAACGGAGGUUUUUUUCAACUUUGUUCAUUCUCCGUUGCUUUCUUUAUUUCAUUUUGCUCAACCUUGCAAGGUUCUUUGGUCUCACUUGUUUUUCAAAGAAGCAACUUAGCCUUACCUCUUCUCUUUCUCUUCCGUUGUCCCUCCGAUGCCGUUCUAGAUCUCGAGACGAGAUCCUCUCAUAGUGGUGGAGUGUUGUAACUCCCCGAGACCGAUGUGCCAGGUGUCCUUCGUUUAUUUGCUGUUGUUGUGUUGUCAUUGCUUGCGUGUCAUGCAUUGCAUAUCAUGUCAUCAUGUGCAUUGCAUCAUCAUGUUUUCAAAACUUGCAUCCGUCCCGGUCUCCUCAUUCCUUCCGUUGUCUGUUCUGAGCCCAGACACACUUGCACGCGCCCGUGGCAUGUCUGAAAUAUUAUUUUAUAAGUGGCCAGAAAAUGUUCUCGGAAUGGGUUGAAAGUUGGUAUGCAGUGUUGUUUUGUUGUAGGUAGGCUGCCUGCCAAGCUUCAUCGCAUUCGGAGUUCGUUUGAUGCCCCAACUAUUAACUAUAGCGACAAUAUAGUCGGUCAAACGUCGGACGUUUUCGGUCUACAAAAACAGUCGCCGGGCCUCUCUUUUCUCUUCUCUCAGCUCGAGACCGUCUACACAAUCCACUACCUACCGUCAGGUCCAACCUAACCUCUCUCGUCAGCCCGCAGCCCCCCUCGCGCGUGUCCGAAAAUUGUCCCGAACCCGACCCGGACUAUCGCCACCGUUGUGUCCGGAUCAUCCCCAAACAUCUACAAAACAUCUCCUUUUUCCUAUAUGGUCUUCCUAUCUUUUAUUUCUCGACCGUCCGAUAAAAAUCCGAGGGACCAAAUACCCCUAACCAAAAUCCUCGUUGCUAUAUAAAUAGAUGGAACCCUAGCCUUGUCCCAUCCAUCCACCGAAUCCCUCAGCCGUCGCCGCCGGACAACCUCCCUCUUUUUCCUCGCGUAGCCAGUCAACUCCCUGCUUUCUUCCUUGGGAUCAUCCCCGAUCAUAAAAUCCCUUCCUCGUUUUCAGAUCCACCCAAUCCCUCCAUCGAUCCAACCAUAGCCCUCCGCUGCUCUGCUUCCCCUCGAUCCACCUGAGCUCCUCCUCUUGUGCCUCUGUGCUCGAUCCCCCUCGUCCUCGCCACUCCUUCGCGUGCGGCAAGCCGCCGUAGCACCGGAGCUCCCUCCGCCGUCGAGCACCACCAGCAGAUGAGCCUCACGCCGCCCUUCCUCCCUUUCCCUCGCUCUUAUCUCUCCCUCACAUCUGGCUCCCUCUCUUUUUCCCUCGCAGAAGACCGCCAUGGCAUCCAGGAGGCUUCAGGCACCAGCAGCUCCGGUUCCGCGUCGGCUCCACCAUGGGAAUGGACGGAUACGUCAUCCUUGACCCCAGGACCUCCUCCUACGUGGCUCUCCAUCAUCAUCUCCGCCGCCAGAACGCACGAUAGCAACCUCCUGCCAUGGAUCCGAUGCCCCUUCGCCCGUCCUCGCCGGUUUGAGCAGCCGACGAAUCCGCCAUCGCCCGCUCGCUCUGCCGCCUACCGGAGCUCGCCUCCACCGACAGCAGCACCUCCCUUCGCCAAGCGCCGCCGUGACCCCGUCGUUUUCCAUCCCUGUCGAACCUGCUGUCGUCCCUGCCGACAAGCUCUUCGCCUGCAGGGACGCACAGCGCGCCCGUUGACUGCUCGCUGGUCGGCACCCUCCUUCGCAAGUAGCACCGCGCCAGACGCCGAUCGCCUCUGCCCGGUUCCCCGCCACCAAGUCCAGCUCAGCACCGCCGCGAGCCGCCUCCUUCCUUGGAUCCUCGCCGCCCCGUCGCCCUGUUCGCCUCCUCUGCUUUGUUCGAUCAGGCAGGACGACGCAUGCUCCCUUCGUUGACCACUUCCACUCCAGGAGCUGGGCCACCUCCCCUCGGCUCGUUGACCGACUGCCCAGAUCCACGCCUGGGCCACUUCUUGCAGCGAGGCCAAGAUCGACCGCGGCCCAGCCAGCGCCCUGCCGGCCCAGCCUCCCCUCCAGCUGCGGUGCUUCUGGCCUGUUGGGCCCAAUGUGAGCAGCGCAACAGUUUCAGCUCACUCUUGUUUUUUUUCCUCCAGCAUUUUUGCUAAUAACCAGUGUAUUACCGGUUUUACAGAAAAACCCCUAGUCUUUAUGCAUAUAAUAACUUAUGAAUAAUGCUUCAUACGUAAUAACCUUAUAUUUGAAACUUGACUAGAAUUUCAUCUAGUUUCAUAAUAUGUCAUUUCCAUCCAUGUUUAAAAUGCUUAAAAUGUUGUUUGUUUAAAUUUGCUCAAAUAACUUGUUAAAAUGUUUUAAUUCAUAACUAAAUAACCGUAGCUUGGUUUCUAAUAAAUUUUAUAUGUAAAUGGGGUGGGAAAAUGCCUAGUUUAUCAUGGUGUACUUGUUUCGCAUGUUUAACAAUCCUAAAAUUGUGUUUAGAACAGAUCAGUACCAAAAUCUAUAAUAUGCUCAUGAGGAGUUUCCGGACUUGUUGUUCAUUGUUUCCGGCCUCACUUAAACUUGCCUAGAUAGGUAGUUUUGUUGUGCUUCACCUCUUGCCAUGCUAAAUAAAUUUAAUCUUGUUGGGUACCUAAACGAGAGAGAACUAAAUAAGUCAUGUGGUGUUUUCUUCAAUAUGCAACUCCGUUGCAUAUUGAGCUCCACUUAAUUUGUAGGGUUGCUUGUGCACCUUACCAUGCCAUGCUUCAUUAAACCGGACAUGCAUCAUACUUGAUUGUGCAUCAUGCCAUGUUUAUGUGGUGGUUGUUUACCAUGAUUGUUUGCUUCUUUCCGGUGUCGCUUCUUCGGGUUGGUUCCGAUAACGUCGCGUUUGUGAGGACCCAUUCGACUACGCCUGUUUGUCUUCUUCAUGGACUCGUUCUUCUUCCUAUCGGGAUUUCAGGCAAGAUGAUCAUACCCUCGAAAUCACUUCUAUCUUUGCUUGCUAGAUGCUCGCUCUUUUGCUAUGCCUAUGCUGCGAUACCUAUCACUUGCUUAUCAUGCCUCCUAUAUUGUUGAACCAAGCCCCUAACCCACCUUAUCCUAGCAAACCGUUGAUUGGCUAUGUUACCGCUUUGCUCAGCCCCUCUUAUAGCGUUGUUAGUUGCAGGUGAAGAUUGAAGUUUUGUUCCUUGUUGGAACAUGGAGAUGUUGUUCCUUGUUGGAACAUGUUUUACUUGUUGGGAUAUCACAAUAUAUCUUAUUUAAUUAAUGCAUCUAUAUACUUGGUAAAGGGUGGAAGGCUCGGCCUUAUGCCUGGUGUUUUGUUCCACUAUUGCCGCCCUAGUUUCCAUCAUAUCGCUGUUAUGUUCCCGGAUUUUGCGUUCCUUACGCGGUUGGGUAAUAAUGGGAACCCCUUGACAGUUCGCCCUGAAUAAAACUCUUCCAACAAUGCCCAACAUUGGUUUUACCAUUCGCCACCUAGCCUUUUCUUUUCCCUUGGGGGUCGCGCGCCCAAGGGUCAUCAUUAUUUUAACCCCCCGGGCCAGUGCUCCUCUGAGUGUUGGUCCAAAACAGAGCCACUUGCAGCACCACCUCGGGGUAACUCGAGGUUUGGUUUUAGUUGUACGUAUUGUUCAUCCGGUGUGCCCUGAGAACGAGAUAUGUGUAGCUCCUAUCAUGGGUGUUGCUGGACUUGUUUUACCAUUGUCGAAAUGUCUUGUAACCGGGAUUCCGAGUCUGAUCGGGUCUUCCUGCUAGGAGGAAUAUCCUUCAUUGACCGUGAGAGCUUGUGAUAGGCUAAGUUGGGACACCCCUGUAGGGUUUUGAACUUUCAAAAGCCGUGCCCGCGGUUAUGGGCAGAUGGGAAUUUGUUAACGUCCGGUUGUAGAAAACCUGAAGUUGACCUUAAUUAAAAAAUGCAUCAACCACGUGUGUAACCGUGAUGGUCUCUUUCCGGUGGAGUCCGGGAAGUGAACACGGUGUUGGAGUAAUGCUUGACGUAGGUUGUUCUAGGAUCACUUCUUGAUCGUAGUUUCUUGAUCGUGCUUUUCCUUCUCUUCUCGCUCUCUUUUGCGAAUAGGUUAGCCACCAUAUAUGCUAGUCGCUUGCUGCAGCUCUACCUCAUACCUUUACCUUACCUAUAAGCUUAAAUAGUCUUGAUCGUGAGGGUGCGAGAUUGCUGAGUCCCUGUGGCUCACAGAUUACUUCAAAAACCAGUUUGCAGGUGCCGAUGAGUCCGUGAAGAUGACACAACCAAGCUCAAGGAGGAGCUCGAUGAAGAUCUUGUCCUUUGUGUUGUUUCGUUCUAGUUGAUAAGUAGUGGAGCCCAGUUGGAGUCGAUCGGGGACCUUGUCGCAUUUGGGGUUCUUCUUUUAUUUUGGUUCCGUAGUCGGACCUUGAUUGUAUUUGAUUGUUGUAAUGCUUUAUUCAUGAAAUUGUGUGAAGUGGCGAUUGUAAGCCAACUAUGUAUUUUUUCCCUUAU